rnacentral:rRNA from 1 species
CCUACGGGAGGCUGCAGUGAGGAAUAUUGGUCAAUGGACGAGAGUCUGAACCAGCCAAGUAGCGUGAAGGAUGACUGCCCUAUGGGUUGUAAACUUCUUUUAUAAAGGAAUAAAACGAGGCACGUGUGCCUUUUUGCAUGUACUUUAUGAAUAAGCAUCGGCUAACUCCGUGCCAGCAGCCGCGGUAAUACGGAGGAUCCGAGCGUUAUCCGGAUUUAUUGGGUUUAAAGGGAGCGUAGAUGGGUUGUUAAGUCAGUUGUGAAAGUUUGGGGCUCAACCGUAAAAUUGCAAUUGAUACUGGCAGUCUUGAGUACGGGUGAGGUAGGCGGAAUGCGUGGUGUAGCGGUGAAAUGCUUAGAUAUCACGAAGAACCCCGAUUGCGAAGGCAGCUUACUAGCCUGUGACUGACAUUGAGGCUCGAAAGUGUGGGUAUCGAACAGGAUUAGAUACCCGUGUAGUC